rnacentral:rRNA from 1 species
UACGUAGGGUGCAAGCGUUGUCCGGAAUUAUUGGGCGUAAAGAGCUCGUAGGCGGUUCGUCGCGUCGGCUGUGAAAUCCCGAGGCUCAACCUCGGGUCUGCAGUCGAUACGGGCGGACUGGAGUUCGGCAGGGGAGACUGGAAUUCCUGGUGUAGCGGGUGAAAUGCGCAGAUAUCAGGAGGAACACCGGUGGCGAAGGCGGGUCUCUGGGCCGAUACUGACGCUGAGGAGCGAAAGCGUGGGGAGCAAACGGG